UGUAUAGCGCCACGAAGCUGUGCGAUCUUUAGCAAAUACUUAGUAGCGAUAGCACGGUCGGGGUACAGAUGACGUACAUGUUCAUGUCAUGAUUGUAUGAUGUACAAUUACGGACAUGAUGCAGAAAACUAAAACAAUUCUCAGAAUUUAAAUUUAGGAGGAAAACUGAAGGUCUAGUGUGGAGGUGGCUUCCUCCAUGCUUAAUCCCUCUGCUUCUGACCUCAUUGGUACCCUAGAAGUAGAGGCCUAUGCAGCGCCUACCAAGUUCUGCUUAUUAGUGCAACAAACUCCACAGAUCAUGAAUUGGUACCGUUCGCAAUCAAAGACUUCUGGAUGAUAUGGGGUCAUGAGCUCAUCAAGCCGUUGAUCUUCCCAGUUGCAAAGGUGAUAUGGGAUGACGAGGUUCAAGUUGAAGACAGUGCCAGCGGUUCGCUUUGCUGGAGGGCGCUCUUUAACCCGCUGAUGACGAUAGACUCAGAGGGGGGUGGCAAGAACGAGAGGACGGGAGGAAUGAAGGCGCUAAUCCAAAGCAUUGUGCGGAGACUAAGAGGGCAGGUCCCAGACGGUGACGUCGAUAUACAGGACCGCAGUUGCACCCCACAUCUUUGUAGGGGAGUUUGUUUCCAGCAAUCACUAACCAAAUUUGCAAAACCAAGUUCUGUGCCAUCUUAGCUGACAGCGUCAUCUGAUGUUGAUGGAUGGUUAGUGUUGCAAACAGCCUUACAUUGUUCUCAAAUGGUACGGUACCACCCACGCUAGUAAAUUUCACACACGAAUAAUGUCUUUGUCCAGUAGGAUAUUAACUUUCUGAUUCAGAUGCUUAAAAGCAUGGUACCAUCUUAAUAGUACUCACUGAUUCUAGUUGCUGGAAACCUUUGUUACCAAGACUGGUCCUUCUAAUAGAGAUACUUGCUUGAUGUAAAAGCCUCGUGUACAUUCAAGUUAUUAUCCUCCGAUCUGGGACCCAUUUGUACACGGUUGCUGUGUAGAAACCUCUUUCACUUUUCUAGAUUUACAUGAAAUGCACAAUUUGCCAGCAGAUCAGACCAGAAACUACUACUGAAAUGUUUUCUGUUCACUGCUGAGCCCAAGGUAAAAGAUUUCUUGAUGGAUUUGAUUUAAAACAAAGACUUAGGAUGAUGGUUUGCUUUUUAAAUCAUGGUGUUUUUUUCAAGCAACGGAAUGAGUUCCUGGUUUGAUAAAUAAUCUGUUGAAUUGGAUUUCUGUUUUCUAAAGUGCCAGUGAAAUGUGCAAAUCAUGAUUUUUAUAUCAUUGUAAUAAAACAGUGCUUUUUAAAUUAAUGUGAGAUUGUACAAUGUGCUUUUUUCUAUGUGGCCAGCUUUUCACGGAAAGACCUGCGUUGUAGAAUUCUAAUACUGAAGCAUGGAUCUGUAUAUACAGAAACAAUGGACUCCAACACGUAUGAUGAUGGAGGGUGAUUUUUUUCUCGUCUAGCAGUGAUAUCUGGUGUGGGCAUGACCUAACAGAUAUUUGGGGAGAACUUUAAAUAGUUUACAAGGAUGUUGCUUGUAGCAAAGGUGAAAUCCAUGAUGUAGCACUCAUCUAUGCAGGAAGAUUUGCUUUAUCACAAACACAUCUUUUGCAAACUAUUCUGACCACAGUAUCCAUUUUAAUAACAUGUCCAAUCAUAAUGUAGUUUACAUCAGAUAAUUACAGAUAUACAAGUGAACAUUACCAAUGUACAAGUACAAUGAUACCCAUGCAGUGACCAUAAUAAUUAUAUACACAAACAUUUAAACACUUUGUUUAAACCCUUCUGUGUGUUAUUGGGAAUCCUAAGCCUUUAUCUAUGAGCUGGGUACUACAUCAUGUUUUACUUUUAAAUCAAAAUAUUCAAUAAUGGUGUCACACUUGUAAAAUGUGGGAAGUAUUUUUCUUUCAAAUUACAUCAUAAAAUAUGUGUACUUUAAAAUGUAACACUUGCUAAGGUUACACGCAGAGUAUUAAAAAAAAUCAAAAGAACAAAUAUCAGACCACUGAGUCCGGUGUCUCAUUCCAGGAUUGUUGGAAGAAAGUUUCAGCUGUGAAUCAUGUGGACAAAUUCAGCAUCUGAUCAUUUUAUUCAGUGUCUGAAAUGGACGACAUUCAUCCAGGAAUUCAAGCAAUACGUACAGCUCUUUAGUAAUUUUU
rnacentral:misc_RNA from 1 species